rnacentral:tRNA from 1 species
UCUCAGUUGGUUAGAGUGUGGUGCUGAUAACACCAAGGUCGCGGGUUCGAUCCCCAU